rnacentral:rRNA from 1 species
UACGGGGGGGGCAAGCGUUGUUCGGAAUUACUGGGCGUAAAGGGCGCGUAGGCGGCCUGCUAAGUCGGAUGUGAAAUCCCUCGGCUCAACCGAGGAACUGCAUCCGAUACUGGCGGGCUUGAAUCCGGGAGAGGGAUGUGGAAUUCCGAGGUGUAGCGGUGAAAUGCGUAGAUAUCUGGAGGAACACCGGUAGCGAAGGCGGCAUCCUGGACCGGUAUUGACGCUGAGGCGCGAAAGCCAGGGGAG